rnacentral:rRNA from 1 species
GUAGGGAAUUUUCCGCAAUGGGCGCAAGCCUGACGGAGCAACGCCGCGUGAGUGAAGACGGUCUUCGGAUUGUAAAGCUCUGUUCUGGAGGAAGAAUCGCUUCAGUCGAAUAGACUGAAGCUGUGACGGUACUUCAGCAGAAAGCCCCGGCUAACUACGUGCCAGCAGCCGCGGUAAUACGUAGGGGGCAAGCGUUGUCCGGAAUUAUUGGGCGUAAAGAGCGCGUAGGCGGCUUCUUAAGUCAGGUGUCAAAGGCAAUGGCUCAACCAUUGUACGCAUCUGAAACUGGGGAGCUUGAGUGCAGGAGAGGAGAGUGGAAUUCCCGGUGUAGCGGUGGAAUGCGUAGAGAUCGGGAGGAACACCAGUGGCGAAGGCGACUCUCUGGCCUGUAACUGACGCUGAGGCGCGAAAGCGUGGGGAGCGAACAGGAUUAGAUACCCUAGUAGUCC